rnacentral:rRNA from 1 species
UACGUAGGGGGCAAGCGUUGUCCGGAAUCAUUGGGCGUAAAGAGCGUGUAGGCGGCCUGGUAAGUCCGCUGUGAAAGUCCAGGGCUCAACCCUGGAAUGCCGGUGGAAACUGUCAAGCUUGAGUCCGGAAGAGGCGAGUGGAAUUCCUGGUGUAGCGGUGAAAUGCGCAGAUAUCAGGAGGAACACCAAUGGCGAAGGCAGCUCGCUGGGACGGUACUGACGCUGAGACGCGAAAGCGUGGGGAGCAAACAGG